CCUACGGGAGGCAGCAGUGGGGAAUAUUGGGCAAUGGGCGAAAGCCUGACCCAGCAAAGCCGCGUGAAGGAAGAAGGCCUUCGGGUUGGAAACUUCUUUUGACAGGGAAGAGCAGAAGACGGUACCUGACGAAUAAUCCAUGCCUAACUAAGUGCCAGCAGCCGCGGUAAUACGUAGGUGGCAAGCGUUGUCCGGAUUUACUGGGUGAAACGGGCGUGUAGCCGGGCUGUCAAGUCAGGUGUGAAAUCCGGGGGCUCAACCCUCGAACUGCAUUGGAAACUGUUGGUCUUGAGUAUCGGAGAGGCAGGCGGAAUUCCUAGUGUAGCGGUGAAAUGCGUAGAUAUUAGGAGGAACACCAGUGGCGAAGGCGGCAUGCUGGACGACAACUGACGGUGAGGCGCGAAAGCGUGGGGAGCAAACAGGAUUAGAUACCCGAGUAGUC
rnacentral:rRNA from 1 species